rnacentral:lncRNA from 1 species
CAGCCCCCCCGCAACCCGCCCCGUCUGCAUCUCUAGUCGACAGUGAACCCGCUCCCCGGCGAGAUUAGCAUCAGAACGGCGCGAGCGGAUGGUGGAAGGGGAGGCUCGGCCGACGAUGUUGGAGGGAGCGGAGCAGGCGGCUGAGGACGAAGCGCGGCCUCCCGCGGCAGAUCCGCAGCGAGCUUGGGGCGGCCUCCCGCUCCCGCCCCACGGCCUACCAGCGCC